rnacentral:rRNA from 1 species
GAUUCCCCUAGUAACGGCGAGUGAAGCGGGAAGAGCUCAAGAUUUGAAAUCUGGCACCUUUGGUGUCCGAGUUGUAAUUUCUAGAGGUGUUUUCAGUACUUGGCUAGGUAUAAAUCCUUUGGAACAGGGUAUCAUAGAGGGUGAGAAUCCCGUCUUUGACCUGGACUAAGUACUAUGUGAUACAUCAUCAAAGAGUCGAGUUGUUUGGGAAUGCAGCUCUAAAUGGGUGGUAAAUUCCAUCUAAAGCUAAAUAUAGGCGAGAGACCGAUAGCGAACAAGUACCGUGAGGGAAAGAUGAAAAGAACUUUGAAAAGAGAGUGAAAAAGUACGUGAAAUUGCUAAAAGGGAAGCGAAAGAGACCAGUCUUACUAGCUAAUAAUCAACUUUACUUAUGUAUGGUGCACUUAUUAGUUAGUAGGCCAACAUCAGUUUUUUUUAUUAGAUAAUAGUAACAGGAAUGUAGCUUCUUGUAAGUGUUAAAGCCUGUUACUUGAUAUAAUAGAGGGGACUGAGGACUGCAGUGUGCUGUAUGGCGGCCUUUGGGCCUACACGCUAAGGAUGUUGGCAUAAUGGUUUUUUCCCGACCCGUCUUGAA